rnacentral:misc_RNA from 1 species
AACCUUAUGGACCUGCGGGCGUAUACCUGCGGAAGGAUCAUUAAAAAGAGUGUGUACCCCCCUGUAAAAUGGGUGGGUUACCUCCCGUCCUUUGUUGACCUCUUAGGAGGUUAUUUUGAACUUUUCUGCUUCGGUGGGGUUAAACCUACCGGAACACCCUCAAAUUCUGAUCAUUUAAAAAUUGUUCAGUCCGAUUUUUGUUAAUAAAAACAAAAAACUUUCAACAAUGGAUCUCAGAUC